rnacentral:rRNA from 1 species
UAUCCGCCAGAAGACUACGAGCGAAAAGCUUAAAACUCAAAGGACUUGGCGGUGCUCCAUACCGACUUAGAGGAGCCUGUCCUAUAAUCGAUACCCCACGCUAAACCUCACCAAUCUUUGCCAAAUCAGCCUAUAUACCGCCGUCGUCAACCCACCUCAUGAGAGAAAAAUAGUGAGUACAAAAGUUUAAUAACUAAAACGUCAGGUCAAGGUGUAGCUAAUAGAAUGGAAGAGAUGGGCUACAUUUUUUAGAAUAAAACAUACGGCAUGGUACUAUGAAACUUCUACCCAAAGGAGGAUUUAAUAGUAAAACUAACAAGAAAGUUAAUUUUAAACA